UAUAAUGAUAAUAAUAAUGGUAAUUUAUAUUUAUCAGGCUUUUCAGAUUCAACUUCGAUGUGGCAAUAGGCAAUAAAUAUAAAAUAUAUGGAUUUGAGAAGAUACAGAUUUGACAAGAGAAUCAUUUAAUGUAAUGAAAGAAACCACACCAUAUCACAACAUGAAGCCGCCAGGCAGCUAAUGCAGCAGCCAUAACAAUUUUAAUUGCAAGGAUCUCGUCUGCCCAACAGUGCGAUGGUCUAACUGCCAACAAAACCAUACUCCACACCAUUUAAUUAUUUUUUGUUUUCGUUUCGUACUACAAUAGCCUACUUCAUUUUGAUGUCGGCUAUAUUUGUAAUUAAUUUUCUGACCAAUUUGUUCAUAAUAAACUGCUAAUGUUACUGUAUUAUAAAAAUGUAAAUAUGAGCUUCAGACUCAAUAAAUGUUUAAUAAACUUUCAAUUAUAUGCGAAGAAACUGACCUUAUUUAGAUAAAUUCUAAUUAUUAAACCAUUAUUUAUAUUAUAUUAAUUGUUUUUUUUUGCUUGCAAGGACUACCUGUGGUGAUGUCUGGUAUAUAAUAUAUUAGUAUUCUUUCUAUUCUGUCAUUUGAAUGUGAAUGUGAAUUGGGAAAUGUAAAUAUGAAAAUUGUAUCUUAAGACAUAUA